rnacentral:lncRNA from 1 species
UCCUACACUGUUCGCUCUGCCUUCUUUGUGGAAAUCUCACAUAAAGGCUCUGGCCUUUGCCUUCUCCUUGCUCCUGUCAUCUGCCUCUUGACCAUCCUCACAUUUCCUUUGUGGCCCUGUUCCCUUCUCUCAGGUGUGGCAUGAUCCCUUCUCUCAGGAAAUUCCAGAGGCAGUUGGUGUAUCUAUUAAAGGAUGACUUAAAGACAAACAUGACUUGGAUGUUAGGUAGCACACUGCUCCAGAGAGUAGUUCAACUCUUAUCCCUACUGGAAUCACUUGUUUACAGUACAGAGUAGCGAUCACUCACCCCACCCUCUAGAGUAAAGGUGGCAUGCAAUAGUGAAGCUGUGAAGACUGGUGGAACCACAAAUAGAAGGGUCCUAAGUCCCAGAAUUACCAUGGAAGAAAGUCUCCUGCAAAUUGGACAGAUAUACCAAGGGGAUGAACUCUUCCAUCAUCUCAUAAAAAUAUCAGGCCGUGAAGCAACAUAAAGAGAGAAAACAUGCAAGGCAAUGUGUCUCCCGUCUCUGAUUUAUUCAUCUCAAUUGGA